UACGUAGGUGACAAGCGUUAUCCGGAAUUACUGGGCGUAAAGCGCACGCAGGCGGUGCGUUAAGUCUGACGUGAAAUCUCUCAGCUUAACUGGGAGGGGUCGUUGGAGACUGGCGGACUUGAGGCGAUGAGAGGGGUGUAGAAUUCCCGGUGUAGUGGUGGAAUGCGUAGAUAUCGGGAGGAAUACCAGUGGCGAAAGCGGCACCCUGGCAUUGGCCUGACGCUCAUGUGCGAAGGCGUGGGGAGCGAAC
rnacentral:rRNA from 1 species